UGGAGGGACUAAAAAUUAAGUAAUGGUAUAAAUGUAUACCAGCAGCCUGAUAGCAAGUUUUAUUAAUUGGAGUAAUACUUGGUUAUGGAAGUGACUGAUGCUAAAUAAAUUUCUGAUUAUUUUUUAUUAGAUAAUUUCUUAUCAACAAAUUUAAACUGUCAGCCUGCUUAGUGUCUAUUAGUUAAACUUUGUAAUAUAUAUAUAUAUAUAUAUAUAUAUAUAUAUAUAUAUAUUCUUGUUUUUCCAUUGUAUGCAAAGUGAAAGAAAAAGAUGUACCAUUUCUUUGUUGUAUGUUGGAUUAUGUAGGGAAUGUUUGUGAACAAUUCAAAAAAAAAAAAAAAAGGGAAAAAAGUUCCUGUGGAUGUUUUGUGUAGUGUCUUGAUGUUUGUAUUAAUAAUAGUUAAGUUCACUUCCGAAUAAAACUCCCAUAAUGCUAGAUUUGAUGUGUGCCCAAUUUGAGCAAGGGUUGAUUGACACCUGUAAAAUUUGUUAAACCGUUCCUCUUGUAAGGAAAUAUAGUAAUCUUAAAUUACAA